UCCCUGAUAGCUCAGUUGGUAAAGCUCUCUGCCUGUAAUGCAGGAGACCCCAGUUUGGUUCCUGGGUCAGGAA
rnacentral:tRNA from 1 species